GCAAGGACUGUGUCAUUUAUUUCCUCAUUUCCUAGCACUUCGCUCUCUCUUUUCCCCCCUUGCUCUUCCACCACAGCUCCCAGGGGCACUACAUUUCCUGAAUCUGCACACUCAUUUCUGAAACACUCUGCUUUCCUUUCCCUUAGCCUAAACUGAAUUUCCCCACCGGUUUGUUGGGGGCUCCUUCCUAAAGAAAUGAGAAUCUGUCCAUCGGGGGAAAUGGAGCCAGAUUCCUGCUAGGCCUUUUCUAUUCAUCCCCUCCUCGACUCUUGGCUUCCCCCUGUUGGGAGCAUAAGACUCAGGACACAGACUGCAUUUGCUGGCCACCACCGGUGCCAAGGCAAUUCUCGGGAGGACACGGCAAUAAAGAGGAAGAAAGGAAAAUAUCUCAUUUGCUCCAGAGUUCCUUCGAAGCCGGGCUCCUGCGCACCUCAUUUGGCAAGGGUUUACCCAAGCACAGGAAAACAACCUCGCCUCCAGCAUGACUGCCAGAUCGCGGGAAGACAUUGUCGCUGUCCCGCAACGGCACCCGACCUGCUGGUAUAAAAGUUGGAGAAACAACGCCUGAUGAACUCUGAUUGAAGUGGAAUGUUUGGAGGCUUGCGUAAAUGC